UACGUAGGGGGCAAGCGUUGUCCGGAAUUAUUGGGCGUAAAGAGCGUGUAGGCGGUCCGGUAAGUCAGGUGUGAAAGCCCAGGGCUCAACCUUGGAAUUGCAUUUGAGACUGGAUAGCUAGGGUGCGGAAGAGGGAAGCGGAAUUUCCGGUGUAGCGGUGAAAUGCGUAGAUAUCGGAAGGAACACCAGUGGCGAAAGCGGCUUCCUGGUCCAGCACCGACGUUCAGGCACGAAAGCGUGGGGAGCAAACAGG
rnacentral:rRNA from 1 species